GCCUUCUAAUCCACUUGGCAGAAGGGAAGGGGCCUAUAAAUAAACGGGAAGGGAGUAGUUGACUCAGGCAGGAAGGGAGUAGUUGACUCAGGACUAAAGGUAGGCGCUUAAGAUAAGAGAUAUGUUGUCGGGCUAAAGUUAGGCUCUAAGAGAAAAGAGCUAUGUUGUGGGACGAAGCGGGAAAUUAAUGAAAAGUGAAGUGGAACUCGGUGUCAGGAAGGGAAGUAGAACUCGGUGUCAGGAUCCGUAGCUGUAGAAAAAGCUUUUCUUGCCAGUUAAAGUAUACAGUAGUUGUAAGCGGUUCCUCAAGGUUCUUCAAGUAGAGCUAAAAAGACCUACUUCACCGUCUCCAGUGCGACUUAACCACGGAUUUCGAUCUAUUAUUUGAUUAUGUUAUGACAAUUCAUUUAGAUCCAUGUUAUGACAAUUCAUUUAGAUCCAUUAUUAUGACAAUUCUUUAUUACUAUUACAUUCUAUCCAAUAGAGUCGCCUGUUCCGGUUUAUCCUUUUUGAGUCUGUAACUGAUGACCUCUAACUUACCUGCCUUGCGUAACUGAACGGACUUCCUCAUCUAACUUACCUGCCUUGCGUAACUGAACGGACUUCCUCAUACGAACCUAAACAGCUUAUGCCGAAACGGAAAGAGGAGCGAGCCGAUUCCGAGCCAACUUUUCACCGUGCUGCGUCUUUUGCCGAGGUUUCUUUAGCGCCUAACUUUAUUGUCUUGAGCGCUAGGGGCUACCUUGUCUUUAGCGAGGGACUCUGGCUUUUCUAGGGAAGGGAUUAGUCUAACUGUGCCAGGCGUAGCUGACCCGCUUUCCUACUUGAAGUUGCUAAGCAGAUCCUUCAGAUUUCAUUGCAUUUUCUUAAGAAUGAUUACUCCGAUCAGGCAUUCUAUCAUACCAUUCUUGCAGACUACUUUUAGAUUUGAUAAGGUUUGUUUGUGUACCAGAAUAGUAGACUAUUGUGCCUACCAAAAGGGGAGGAGUCGGAUCCUCUUCCUAGCCCUAGUUUGAAAUAAGGUUCGCCUUUGUUAGGCCCUUUUUUGUAGUCACCGAUCUUAGACCAAUCCUCUUCUGCUUUAUAUUGGAAAAAGUAGGGUACAAAGUGAAGCCGAUCUUGUCUAUUUCUGUGUUUUAUGUCGGCUCUUUCCUCGUCGGCCCUCAAAUGAAAUAACUCGUUCCUUUCAUCGAAUCCCUUUCGGGUCCUUGAAAACUCCCUGGAAUCGAAGACAACUCCUGCGAGUCUAGCUAUACCGGUUUAGCUUCCCUUCUGAGUAGCUGCUUCUAUUAUAGGAAGAAUCCCUUUGAUUUCACCCUUUCUAUAACCACCCCUACGCCUGAAAGCAAUGCCGUUCACUUCUUUUCCCGUUCCAGGCUGCUUCCUUCUUUUCCGUGUUAUCGGCUCUGGAGGCCUUCCUCACGUACGCGCUGGCGACGGACUCUCCUUCUUCACUUUUGCGCAUUGUGUUGUGAAAAGCAGAAUACGCUUACUGCUUACUCUUAUUGGCUGGUGUAAUGUCUCAAGUCAGUGAUUCAACUGCCGUAAUUGAACAACUUCCUAUUCACCUUCAGGGUUAGUCCAGUCAAGUCAGCUACUCCUUCACUGGGCCGCAAACAGUAGAAUCCUUUGCCUUAGGUUCUUUUAUUCCAUUCUAAAGGGGCAAGGCAAGAGAGAAACACUUUUGAUUACUUUUGCUAGGGAGCCUGCUUUCUAGUUAUACAAAGACUGGGCUUAUUGGGACAAAGACGGAGACUACCUGUUCCAAUAUAUCGUAUGCUACUACCUGUUCCAAUAUAUCGUAUGCUACUACCAGUAUAGGCACGCACUUCUAAUUAGCCUGGCACUAAAGAUGGCUACACUGGGCUGAAAGGAAAGAACUUGCUUUUAGAACUCUCUUUUGAAGAGCCUGCUAUUCCAGCUUCAAUGCCAGGUAGAAAGUAGCAAGGUAAAAGGAACUCCAAUUUCCAUAAUACUAUUUUGCUCACUUUCCUUAAGUAAUCAUCUAAGGCUGGCUGCUGGAUUGACCUUUUCUGCCGGAACUCGUGCUUGAGAAACUCUUCCUUCCUUAGUUAAUGAAUAAAAAGGAAGUGGAAGUCUUCCCUCAGCAGAAUCGAUGAAUUAGCCAUAUAAAAGACCUUUUGAUUGGGCUGGAUGUCCAGAUGACAGACGCAGCACUAGUGGGUACAGUGUAUAUUUUGGUUUUCCUCUUUUCUCCUGGCUGGGGGGAGCCUCAAGGAAAAGCGCAGAUCGUCGAUCGGAUGGUAGAAUUAGAUCACGAAGCACCGGACUUUUGGAGAUAUCACAGAGAUGCCAUUAUUUCUUAUUCUAUUCUUACUAAAAGGAGGAUGGACUACAAUUCGCACAAGCUCUCUGAGAUGCUUUGUGAGUUUACUCGAUCGGAUGCCCACACGUCUCCUACUUUUCAGAAGAUGUGUGUUAUUCGCUAGAAGUUUUCUCAACUAGAUCAAGUAUUAGGUAUCUGGAAGUGAGUUUCUUUUUUCAGUGUCAUGUAAUAAAUAAAGGGAAGGGCUUCAUUUAGGAGCGAUCAGUUGUUCAUUCGGUAUUUUCAAAAGAAAGAAAUUAUUCCCAUCAAGACAGAUUAACGUAGUCAAGCCUGUAGGAGUAGUGAAGAACUAUAGUGCAGAACUAAGCGUUCUCGUUUGUUGGUUGUUGACUAACGAAGACAUGGUAGUAAUAAAGAUGCACAAAGGAAAGGAAGAAGGGCGGCUUCUUUGAUAGAUUCUGGCCAGCCCCAAUCUUUUGAGAAAGUAAAGUAGCUGAGUCUGUAACCUAUCUAAAAGAGAAGACCUUCAAAAUAGAGUCAAGUUCCUCACUCGCGGGAUGCAAAAAACUAGACAGUUCAGGUAACUUGCUCGCAGAAGAACUUCAAUUGGAUGAGGAUGGGCUUGAAGAGGACUAUCUAAGAAGCUAGUAUGAAUUUACCCUUGCAGACACACAUAAAAAGGACCUACUUAAAAGAUCGCAGCAAGGGAGGAUGGAAACUACUAGAUUGCAAUUAUAGAAAAGCUUGUAGUACGAAAUCUCAUCACACUUAAAGGAAAGGAGGACUCCUGCGGGCAUUGGCACUAUACCUGCCGGCAAUGGAACUGCCUAUAUCGCAUGCUUAUGGAUAGAUGCGCUUAGCACGCUAACAGACUAACAAUAGAUGGAAGGGCGAAGUACUCAAACAGAAUGUAUCCCGGUAAGCUUUCGCACUAUAAGCUGGCUUUCAAGAGACAGUGUAACCAUAUCUUCGCGAGCUCCUAUCAAAGCUGCUAUAUAAACAUAAAUCCCCGCCAGCUAUAGCCCUAACCAUCAGGAUGAGUUUCGUAAGGAACGAUGGAGCUAAAUCACACUUCUUUGAUAAGAGCACACAGGAUCGAGACUUGAUAGGAUAGGAACUUUUCCAACUUAGGCUUAGCCCCCAAUAGGGUCGCAUUUCCCACUUCAACUUCAAUUUGCUUUGCUCGCAGAAGACUUACAAUGACUCGCCAGCAGAAUCAAUCCUAGACUCUCAGGAGGGGGCGAGAAGUCAGAAUAACACUAUUAUACUAAAGAUGCAAGAACGAGAUCAACUGAACUGGCUAUAGGGGCUUCAAUAAAACCUUAUUGAUAGAACGACUAAUGUACACGUUAGGUUCACUUGGAAUGUUAGGGCUGGGAAGCUACGUAAUGGUAUACCGUUUGGUUAGGACUUUUCUGCCCGGUAGUAAGGAGAGUUGGGAGUUCGUUUUCAUAGUACACAUUAUUUAUUUUACUUUGAAUUAUACGAGUUCGUUAAGUAGAAUUCAUAAUUAGGAUAGAAUAUGGGAAGGGCACCGGGUGAAGAGGCUGGAGGCGCGCUGCUUAAGGGACUUCCCUCUCUCCCACUAAUCAUGCUAUAGACAUGGUUUUGUCAGUUUCCUGCUUUUUUCUCUUAGUUGAACUCUUGCUUGUUGCAGAAAUAAGGACCUAGUGGAUUCAUUCAUAUAGGGGAAGAAAUAAGGACCUAGUGGAUUCAUUCAUUAGUACUAAACCCGCGGCUCUCUCGUUCUAGACCUUUUUCCAGUCCCCUAUUCUUCCAUCGUGAAACCUUUAUCCCUGAGAUGCCCUGCCUUUCUUUUAUAGUAUAGACAAGUAAUCCAUUAUAGACAAGUAAUCGAUCCCGCCAUUCCUUAUUGCGCACUUCGGUGUGAAUAACAAUAAGAGCAAUCUAGAGUAGAUAAUAUAGUCUCGGCAUAAAUCCCAAAGGCCUAUAGUACCAGAAAAGACUUCAAAGAAGUGGCUCGUGGAACUGAGUUUUGCUAACCGCUUCUUGCUAACAAUGCUGUCCAAUGAAAUUCAUGUGUUUACGUCCUAUCUUCUGAGUCUAAGCCUUUUUUGUGUUAUAACAACAUAAGCCUUUUUUGUGUUAUAUAAAAUGACGUUAAGAGAAGAGAUUAUAGCUUUCUUUUGGUAGCUUUGUCUACGCAACGUGUUUUAACAAAAAAAGAAGUUUUCAAGAAGCGAAAAUAGAAGGGUUCCCCUAUCCGUAAGGUUCUUCCACAUGUGUCACAUUGGAAUAGCUCAACAACACUAGUAUUUCCUGUUCCAUGUCGACUUUACGACGAUGUCUUAUACAAAGGUAACCAUAGUAAUUGCCUAUGGUCAGCUCCUUCAAGUGUUUCGAAUCCCGAACUAGCUUGCUCUUUGAGGGACUUUAGUCGAUUGAACGGCACUCCGAUCCAGUAAGGACAUUUCCUUUUAUGGUUCUUCUUGCCACUCCUAAAUCAAUUUGAGUAUAGUUCUUCUUGCCACUCCUAAAUACAUUAUUGAGUUACCUAGCGUUGGACACAUUUUGUGAAAGGCAAAGGUUGGUUUGCUUCUCUAAUAGUUGCUCUUUACCUUUACUCCAUAAGAUGGGGCUUUUCCAUAGCUCGGAAGCGAAAGGCGAAAAACGCUCCUACUGUUGAAGAAGGCUUUCUGCCAGCUCGAUGCUAAAAUCCAGAGUGACCUAAUAAAGAAAAAAAGGUGAUUCUUAGCACUGAUACUCUAGAAAUCCGAAAUGGGUAGUACCUCCUACUAUAUUACUUCAAGCCAAAGUCCAAGUAGCUUCUUUUUCGAUGUCAUCAGCAAUUCGGAAUGAUACUUUGAUUCCAUCGAUCGGCAUUGCUCUCGGGGCUAAAUCUGACUGGUAACACCUAACUUUCCUAAUUGUACUGGCGCAUUCCCUUCCUAAGGAACCCGGCUAUCUUCUUGAUCUCUAUUAUCCCAAUGUUAAGUAGCUUUUCGCCCUUGCGUCGACUUGAUCCGGUUAAAUAGCCAUAUCCCUAGGCUUUUUGGAAAGUCAUAUUAUUUAUUACCGGGUGAAUAUAGAAAAUGCGUCAUCUCAUCUCGGGACUCCAUUUUGAUUAAGUCAAAUAGGUCGGUCGAUGCCCGGUUAUUAAGUCAUCCAAAGGGCGAUCAAUUCUUGCUUACUAGUGGAAAGACUAGCUAGAAUAGCACUAAUCGAGCACUAAUCAGAAAGCGACUACUACGCUCAUUGACGAUCCAAUAGUUGCUCUUGACCUUAGGUACCUAUUUCUCCUAGGCGUGCAACCUCUAAGCCACAUUACCCGAGCGACACUCUUUCUUCUCUGAAAGGGCUCCUUUGCGAAGCAUCCAAUCUUGCCUUUUUUCUUUGGGUUUCACUGGUGGUCAGUUGCAGCUAAAAAGCUGUCUAUUUCUCUAGUUCCCCACUCGUGUCUAACAAAAGUAGCUAUUGAUGAGAAAGUCCGAAUGUAUCUUUACCUGCAACGCUUGAAUGAAAGCAGCGCUUGGCCACCCAUCUAUAUUCUCCGCCUGAAGUGAGUGAUAGGGUUGUGUCAAAGUGUCACUUUUCAAGUAUCACCUUUCUUUAUGAAAUUCAUGGAAUUCCAAAAGCCACGUUUUAUUCGCCCAGGUUAAUCAAGUGGUAGUCCGGGAACCCAGAACCUGCUAUUUGACUUCGUAGAUAGGUGUAAGCCCCUUGUCCUUUGACAGGCGUGCUUCCGAAGCUGCUGCUCGUGGUACGGAGGCUUUCUUCGGGCUACCCGGAUGCCGCAACUACUUAUGCUUCCUUAAACGUUGGGCUAGGUCCCAUCCGAUUGUUGUCAUCUUCCCCAUCUCCAGGUGCUAUGGAUCCUC
rnacentral:lncRNA from 1 species